rnacentral:lncRNA from 1 species
ACAGCGAGACGGGCGGUGGGGCUGAGCCGAGGCCCAGGAACGGAGGUGGAGGAGCAGACCCGGGCGACGCGGCCCGCGAGCGAGAGGGUCGUCCGGGUCAGUCCAGCGCAACUCGGGUCACCAGUCCCAGGGCCCUGGUCCCCUUAUUGGAUCUAUGUCUGGGUUUGCUGAAGCACCCGCUGGGCCCAGGACUGCAGAGACGCCCCUACCCAGGCUGUGCCCCGGGUGGAGGGGGACAGGGGGAAUGGCUUCAUCGCGGGGUUCGGGGCAGGACAGCUCAGGACCUGCGGAGAUACUGGAUGGUGUAGGAUCCCAGGCCAAAGGUGGCGCACCCUGAGAUCAGCAGCCCAGCUCCCUGCAGCCUUGAGGAGGGCGCUGCCUGCGUCUUUGGGAGCCUCAGCUUCCCCUCCGGUUCCGGGCCUUGGAGUGCUGGUCUGCAGCUGCGGCCUGGCUCUGUGCCCGGCCUGACCCUCGUUCACACUGCACACCCCUGGAGGCAGGACAGAAAGUGUGCACAGCGAAGACCCUGACACCCUACUGGUUGAUGAUCCAAAUCCCGAGGUCCCUCUCAGAGUCCGGUGAGAUCCAGAGCCAGCUAGAGGAAGAAAGUGGCCGCGUCAGCUCCCGAAAGGCCGUCUGGGUGAGGUUGAAAGGAAAAGCCAACAGGAGUUCCCAUCGUGGGGCUUCGGAAACAAUCCGACCAGGAACCAUGAGGUUGCGGUUUCCAUCCCUGGCCUGGCUCAGUGGAUUAAGGAUCCGGUGUCUCUGUGGCUAUGGUGUAGGCCGGCAGCCGUAGCUCCCAUUCGACCAGCAGGCUCUCGGGUCCACCUCCUCUCCCCGUGGUCCUGUGCUGCCUCUUCCUACCCUGCUCCUCAGCAGCUCAGUGCAACUCUCCUGUCCCCCGCAUCCUCCCUGGUCGCACGCAGAGAGCAUCUGUGCAAAGACAACAGACGCGGCCACCCAGACCCUUUAGCUCACAGAGGAUGCCCUGAACGGACUCCCAGGGAGCCUACAGAAGACCACGGACUUGAGAAGGCACUGUGAACUGCUUGGUAGCAUCUGCAAGAUGGGGUUUGGUUUCAGGUCUGUGUCCUGCCCGCCACCCUCAGGCCCCGGUGGGCUCAGGAGGGCCUUGGGCACAGCCCGAGGGGCCUCGACCCUCAUACAGUGCAGAGCAAAGUCAGAGAUGUGUGGAGGCAGCUGCUGCUCCGGGUGGGAGCUGAUGACAUCCCGCCUGUCGUGUAGACAUUUGAGUUAACUGGCCCUGGGGUUGCCAAUAAUCUCAGUCAGGUCAAAGCCUCCACUCGGAGACGUUUGGGGCAGAAACCUGCUGAUUUACCCCUUGUUUUAACUCUUGGGGAACAAGGGGAUUGCUGACCGCUCCCACUGGCAGGGAGCAGGGAGUGGAAAGAGAACAGCCCUCGAGGGAGAGGCCAAGGAGCCCGUCUGCUCUGGCUCUGCACCGUCCAGCACAGUGGCCUCAGCCUGUCCCAACUGCGAUGUGCGAAUGUGCACAAGAAACACCUGAUUUCAAAGACGUUGAAAAAAAUGCCAAAUAUCUUUCUAAUAAUUUUAUAUUGAUUGCCUCUGGAAAUUAUGUUUUAGAUGUGUUAAGGUAAAUAAAAUAUAUUAUUAAAUUU